rnacentral:rRNA from 1 species
GUCCACGCCCUAAACGAUGUCUACUAGUUGUCGGGUCUUAAUUGACUUGGUAACGCAGCUAACGCGUGAAGUAGACCGCCUGGGGAGUACGGUCGCAAGAUUAAAACUCAAAGGAAUUGACGGGACCCGCACAAGCGGUGGAUGAUGUGGAUUAAUUCGAUGCAACGCGAAAACCUUACCUACCCUUGACAUGGAAGGAAUCCCCGAGAGAUUGGGGAGUGCUCGAAAGAGAACCUUUACACAGGUGCUGCAUGGCUGUCGU